rnacentral:misc_RNA from 1 species
UUGGAAAUAAUAACAAUCGAAUUAAUAAAACAUGGAAAUGAAAGAAGGCGGUUCGUUCUUAUUCUGUCUUGUUUUUUUCAUUCGGAUCAGACUCACCUUUGCUUCGUCUUGACGCGUCGGUAUCUCCUGAAGUCAUUAGCGGUAGCGUCAUUCGGAUCAAAUCCCCUUCGAUGUUUCGGAGGCGAUGACAUCGCUGUUUUAGCGGAUCCGUUGAUAACGUCAGCGUUGAUGUCGUUUUCAAUUUGUAGCACAGUUAAAAUUGGCGACGAUAUACUCGUGGGCGAUAUUAUCGAGGGUUGAAAUUCGUUCGCCCUUAUCAAAAUCGGCGGAGGUAUCGUCGCCGGAUUUGGGGGGCAGCAACGACACGCUGGUACCGGCGACUCCCCAAUGAGGAGUACUCGCUCCCCGUGCCCGACGUGAUUUGGCACGAUGUUCAACUCGUGCCUCGUCGCCCGUCCGGCGCCUGGACCACCCAUUCAAAUAUCAGGUUUAACUUGUCCUCCGCUAAAUCUGCCGGAUAGGUGUUUGAUUUCCAACCCCGCGAUCACCGCCGCGAAGUCAGAGAUGAUCGGGUCCCAGCUGCCUUUGUCAGAUUGUGGUAAAAGUUCGUUCUCUUUUUUACGGAGUAAGGAAUUUUUUCAAGCACCUGUUUCCCCCGGCUAAAACUUGGCGAGAAUUUAACGUUCCGUGAGCGAGCAUGGGUUUUAGGGGC